AGGAGGAACAACCCCAGUGGCGGGGCCAGCUCUGGAAACCUGGAUUCAGCCCCCGCAGUAACUCCGGAGCUCUCCGUCUGCAGGGCCUGGAGGCUCCGGGGCGGG
rnacentral:pre_miRNA from 1 species